rnacentral:rRNA from 1 species
GACGAACGCUGGCGGCGUGCUUAACACAUGCCAGUCGAACGGAAAGGCCCUGCUUUUGUGGGGUGCUCGAGUGGCGAACGGGUGAGUAACACGUGAGUAACCUGCCCUUGACUUUGGGAUAACUUCAGGAAACUGGGGCUAAUACCGGAUAGGAGCUCCUGCUGCAUGGUGGGGGUUGGAAAGUUUCGGCGGUUGGGGAUGGACUCGCGGCUUAUCAGCUUGUUGGUGGGGUAGUGGCUUACCAAGGCUUUGACGGGUAGCGGGCCUGAGAGGGUGACCGGCCACAUUGGGACUGAGAUACGGCCCAGACUCCUACGGGAGGCAGCAGUGGGGAAUAUUGCACAAUGGGCGGAAGCCUGAUGCAGCAACGCCGCGUGCGGGAUGACGGCCUUCGGGUUGUAAACCGCUUUCGCCUGUGACGAAGCGUGAGUGACGGUAAUGGGUAAAGAAGCACCGGCUAACUACGUG